GACGAACGCUGGCGGCGUGCUUAACACAUGCAAGUCGAACGGAAAGGCCCUGCUUUUGUGGGGUGCUCGAGUGGCGAACGGGUGAGUAACACGUGAGUAACCUGCCCUUGACUUUGGGAUAACUUCAGGAAACUGGGGCUAAUACCGGAUAGGAGCUCCUGCUGCAUGGUGGGGGUUGGAAAGUUUCGGCGGUUGGGGAUGGACUCGCGGCUUAUCAGCUUGUUGGUGGGGUAGUGGCUUACCAAGGCUUUGACGGGUAGCCGGCCUGAGAGGGUGACCGGCCACAUUGGGACUGAGAUACGGCCCAGACUCCUACGGGAGGCAACAGUGGGGAAUAUUGCACAAUGGGCGGAAGCCUGAUGCAGCAACGCCGCGUGCGGGAUGACGGCCUUCGGGUUGCAAACUGCUUUCGCCUGUGACGAAGCGUGAGUGACGGUAAUGGGUAAAGAAGCACCGGCUAACUACGU
rnacentral:rRNA from 1 species